NNGGACCUCAGAUCAGGCGAGACUACCUGCUGAACUUAAGCAUAUCAAUAAGCAGAGGAAAAGAAACUAACAAGGAUUCCCCCAGUAACGGCGAGCGAAGUGGGAAAAGCUCGAGCCUGAAAUCUCUGGCAGUUGAUGCCAGCGAAUUGUGGCCGGGAGAGGCAGCUGGACCCUGCGUAGCGCUGUCGAAGUUGACCUGGAAAGGCACGUCAGAGAGGGUGACAGCCCCGUGUGCGACACCGCCGGAGGGCCACCACUGUCUUCNGAGAGUCGGGUUGUUUGGGAAUGCAGCCCAAAGUGGGUGGUAAACUCCANCUAAAGCUAAAUAUGGGCACGAGACCGAUAGCGAACAAGUACCGUGAGGCAAAGNN
rnacentral:rRNA from 1 species